rnacentral:rRNA from 1 species
AUACGUAGGUGGCGAGCGUUGUCCGGAAUUACUGGGUGUAAAGGGCGUGUAGGCGGGGAUAUAAGUCAGAUGUGAAAUACCGAGGCUUAACUUCGGGGCUGCAUCUGAAACUAUAUUUCUUGAGUGUCGGAGAGGAAAGUGGAAUUCCCAGUGUAGCGGUGAAAUGCGUAGAUAUUGGGAGGAACACCAGUGGCGAAGGCGACUUUCUGGACGACAACUGACGCUGAGGCGCGAAAGCGUGGGGAGCAAACAGGAUUAGAUACCCUGGUAGUCCACGCCGUAAACGAUGGAUACUAGGUGUAGGAGGUAUCGACCCCUUCUGUGCCGGAGUUAACACAAUAAGUAUCCCACCUGGGGAGUACGACCGCAAGGUUGAA